rnacentral:rRNA from 1 species
CAGGUGGAGUCUGCGGUUUAAUCGGACUCAAACGCCGGGAAACUCACCAGAUAAGACAGCUGAAUGAUAGUCGGGCUGAAGACUCUACUUGACUAGCUGAGAGGAGGUGCAUGGCCGUCGUCAGUUCGUACUGUGAAGCAUCCUGUUAAGUCAGGCAACGAGCGAGACCCACGCCAACAGUUGCCAGCUCGUCCUCCGGGAUGGUGGGGACACUGUUGGGACCGCCUCUGCUAAAGAGGAGGAAGGAAUGGGCAACGGUAGGUCAGCAUGCCCCGAAUUAUCUGGGCUACACGCGGGCUACAAUGGGUGGGACAAUGGGUAUCGACACCGAAAGGUGAAGGCAAUCUCCUAAACCCAUCCGUAGUUCGGAUUGUGGGCUGCAACUCGCCCACAUGAAGCUGGAAUCUGUAGUAAUCGUGUCUCAAAAUGGCACGGUGAAUAUGUCCCUGCUCCUU